GCAUUUAUUUGAGCAAUACAUGCAAUAAAAUUGGCUCAAUACAUAGAAUAUUAGCAUGUCUCCUGGACAGGGAUGCCAAGCAACUUUGUGAAAUGUUACACAUUAAA